rnacentral:lncRNA from 1 species
AAGAGCGAAAAUAGAAAUUAUCUGUUUUUUCUCUUAAAUUUAAGUGUAUUUUAUCUGCCUUCAGAAUUAGUUUAAAUUUCACAGUAAUCUUUUCCUCUUUUCUCAUAUACUGACAUGGACUCCAUAAAAGCUUCUACUCCCUGCUGAUCUUACAGGAAUGUGUACAUUUUUUUAUGGGAGGAUCUGAAGCACUACGACUGAUGAAGAGGAAACAAUAACUACUUUUUCUCAAAUGGAAACUGAUGGAAAAAUAUAUAAAAGGUAUUUAAUAUUAAAAAAAAUUGAGGCUCAAGUAUCAAAGGCAAAAAAGUCCAGGUGCGGGAUUCAGUUGCUUAAAUGGAAAUGUUUAGAGCUACUUUAGGCAUACAGAAUAUCUCUUUAAUUGCCUCCAUAAUUGCCUUCAAUAUAUGUACAAUAUUGGUUGGUCUCAAACAUUUGUCAAAAUUUUGAAAAGAUGUAGCACUAAGCUUAAAUAGACUAGAAUAAUACUUUUAUAAGAAAUAUGCCUUACCAUUGGAUGACUUGGAAGCAACAAGACACCUUCACUGCAGUCACCAGUAAGAUCCUAAAGCUUUUAUGUGUUUACAGAGGGCUGAGCCCCAAGGUAUGUUCCUCUUUUAUGUGUUUCUCUUGGCUAACUAUCAACAGUAUCCUGACCAGCAGGCUGGCUGUGCUCAAUAUCCUGGCACUGGCUCUUCCCACUUCUGUGUAAGGGCCUGAGGAUUCAUCCCACUUUCCUCUUAAAAGCCCAUAUACUCAAAAUCAUCACACCAUCUAACAUUUAAGCACUGUUUCUUCUUUUUUUCCAUUCCUCCACUGUAAAAGACAAACAUACAAUGAACAGACUGAAACCAACGCAUUAUUUUUGUACAGACACAUAAUGACUAACAUGCACAGUAGAUUUUAUAGUCCUAAUAUUCGUUUGAUGAUUACUAACCUGAGCUAGUAAAGCCCCUUAAGCAGUUCCAGUUGUCAUCAAAGAUCAGAUGCAAUUGUACAAACUAAAGGUGAUGAAAGUGUCAUAUGAGAUUUCUCUGUAAAAAUUUCCAUCUUUCAUUCAAGUCAUUUCCUGGCAAAACCCCUGUGAACAGCAGUGAGAAUUUUGUGUGAGCAAGAAUUGGUUGAAGAUAACAAGGCUAGAUCUACACCCUGGGCAUCUCUACGAUGUUAUUUUUGUAAGCAGCAGCACUGGGAUGGAUCACACCCUUCAUUCAUAACAGCUAGGACAUUGAGGCUCUUUUUGGCCUUGGUUUACAUGAAAUACUUCUUUUCUUGUCUCUUUUUUGCUGUUGGAGUAUGGCUGAAAGGGAGAGUUUGUCCCUUUGUGGCAUGGAUAGGCUGCUCCGCCAAAGGAGUUCUUGUGUGAAGGAGGCCUUAGCUUCACAAGAACAACUAAGGUCUGGUACUGCAGUCAGUGAUGCCAUCUGCCUCUUGUUCAAGCCCCUCCUGAUGGUGCAGCUGCUUUCCCAGACGGUGCAGCUGCUCCUACUCC